ACGAACGCUGGCGGCGUGCUUAACACAUGCAAGUCGAACGGGCCCGCUCUCUUUUUUGGGGGUGGGUUGAGUGGCGAACGGGUGAGUAUCACGUGAGUAACCUGCCCCCUGCUCCUGGAUAACUGCUUGAAAGGGCGGCUAAUACGGGGUGUGCCGGCUGGUCCGCCUGGGCCUGGUCGGGAUAGUUUCAUCUUCGGGUGUUUCGGUGGGGGAUGGGCUCGCGGCCUAUCAGCUUGUUGGUGGGGUGAUGGCCCACCAAGGCGGUGACGGGUAGCCGGCCUGAGAGGGUGGGCGGCCACACUGGGACUGAGACACGGCCCAGACUCCUGCGGGAGGCAGCAGUGGGGGGUAUUGCACAAUGGGCGGAAGCCUGAUGCAGCGACGUCGCGUGAGGGAUGGAGGCCUUCGGGUUGUGAACCUCUUUCUCCGGUGGUGAAGGCCCUGUCCGUUGCGGCGGGGUUGACGGUAGCCGGGUAUGAAGCGCCGGCUAACUACGUG
rnacentral:rRNA from 1 species